UAGUCCACGCCGUAAACGAUCAUCACUCGCUGUUGGCGAUAUACUGUCAGCGGCCAAGCGAAAGUAUUAAGUGAUGCACCUGGGGAGUACGCCGGCAACGGUGAAACUCAAAGGAAUUGACGGGGGCCCGCACAAGCGGUGGAGCAUGUGGUUUAAUUCGAUGAUACGCGAGGAACCUUACCAGGGCUUAAAUGUAGUAUGACCGGUCUAGAAAUAGACCUUCUCUUCGGAGCAGAUUACAAGGUGCUGCAUGGUUGUCGUCAGCUCGUGCCGUGAGGUGUUAGGUUAAGUCCUGCAACGAGCGCAACCCCUAUUCUUAGUUGGGCACUUUAAAAGAACUGCCAGUGAUAAGCUGGAGGAAGGUGGGGAUGACGUCAAGUCCUCACGGGCCCUUAUGUGUUGGGGCUACACACGUGCUACAAUGGGUACUUACAAUGGGGAUGGCAAAGAGGCGACUCUUAGCUAAUCCCUAAAAUGUACCUCAGUUCGGGAUU
rnacentral:rRNA from 1 species